GAUGAACGCUGGCGGCGUGCCUAAUACAUGCAAGUCGAGCGAACAGACGAGGAGCUUGCUCCUCUGACGUUAGCGGCGGACGGGUGAGUAACACGUGGAUAACCUACCUAUAAGACUGGGAUAACUUCGGGAAACCGGAGCUAAUACCGGAUAAUAUAUUGAACCGCAUGGUUCAAUAGUGAAAGACGGUUUUGCUGUCACUUAUAGAUGGAUCCGCGCCGCAUUAGCUAGUUGGUAAGGUAACGGCUUACCAAGGCAACGAUGCGUAGCCGACCUGAGAGGGUGAUCGGCCACACGGGAACGGAGACACGGUCCAGACUCCGACGGGAGGCAGCAGUAGGGAAUCUUCCGCAAGGGGCGAGAGCCGGACGGAGCAACGCCGCGGGAGUGAUGAAGGUCUUCGGAUCGGAAAACUCUGUUAUUAGGGAAGAACAAAUGUGUAAGUAACUAUGCACGUAUUGACGGUACCUAAUCAGAAAGCCACGGCUAACUACGUG
rnacentral:rRNA from 1 species